rnacentral:misc_RNA from 1 species
UUGCUGCUGCUUCCUGGGUCG